rnacentral:rRNA from 1 species
AUGGGGUCGAAGCGGACACUAAACGGACAAAAAGGCAAAAUGGGGUUGCGCGUUGGGUCGUUGGUUUUGUACCUUUUACUUCAAACGGACGGGGCGGACAAUUUAAAAUCGUGCGGUGGAGUUGGCCUAAAGGUGGAACAGGGCCAUCAAUGGCAGUGCAGCUUUUGCAUCAGAAUCAACAGGACAGAGGCUAAAAUAGUACGGCGUCGUAGGGAGGGAAUAGGGGGGUGGUUGGUUUGGGUUGGCAAUGAUGCGAAAGGGUGGCUCUGUCCUCUGCUGUUCGGUGGUCUGCCUGCAUUCGGUUCGGCUAUGGAGAUCAGAUCAAUGUGUUGCAUGGCUGGAGGUUUCUUUUUUUUUGCUCUUCUUUUCUCAAGGCAAUCCUUGAGACGCAUCAUGAUGGUGUGCAUGCGGCAUGCACAUGGAUGGAUGGCGCGCGGAAAUCAACUCAUGAUGCACUCCAAAGUUUGUUUUCCAAGUUGUACUCCUAGAUAA